GUUUCCGGUAAGUGAACUAAAUACGUUUUUUCUUCAAUCUAUCUUAAAACAUUGUUGAGGCAACUUUAUUUUAUGUUGAAGUCGAUGGUGUUUGUGUUCGAUGGUGAUGAUUUCACGUCAUUUGUGCAGCGGUGAGUCAUACCACAAAGACUUCUCCAGUCUGGCUAAAAGUUACAAAAGGUGAUCCUUCAGUAUGCCAUUUCUACUUCAGUGAGUGACCUGUCAAAGGAAAUAGAAAAACAAUGUAAUCUACAAGGACAUUUAAGGCUGCAGUUCAUGGAUUCUGACUUGGGCAAUUAGUUUUUAAAUCUCAUGUACACAUCUGAAAUUCAAGACAAAAGUACACUAAAGGUGGUAUUUCUGACAACACCAAGUGAUUGUGACAACUCGCCCCCACCACAACUGAACAGUUUUCAAAGGAGUACCUGCUCAUCACCAGCUCUUUCACUUUCAUCCUGUGACACAGUAGUUUUGUCAACCCCAUCUACUUCAUUAAGCUCUGACUGUGUUGCAAAAGCGUGUUUUGCCAAAUAUAUAACAAAACUGAGAAAAAUUGGCUGUACUGAAGUGAAAUUAAAUUUACUCAAGCCCAAACCAGCUGGAAUUUCCAGUGCUGCUUAUCAUAUAAAAAAAACAUGCAACGCUUUGGUUAACUACUGCCCUUACCAUCCACAAACGGAGACAUCCAAAACACUGGAAGUAGUCAGUGUAAUACUUCUGUCUGAAAUUAAAAAGAACAAUGAGAAAACAUUAUGAAUGCUGAUGGACAAGACCUUUUCUAUCAGGAGACAUGAGGUUGUCAAGGAAUCGCCUUCAAUAGCAGAUUUCAAAACUAGAUGGCCUGCUCUUUUCAGAAGGGAAGAGAUUUGUGCAGAGUUUAAAAGAAUCGCAACAGCCCCAUUGGUGUCUACAUACUUGGCGAAGAUGGAUCAAUAUUCUGCAAAGCUUAUAAGGAUCUAUGCAAAACGAGGAGUCGUCAAUUGACAGAGAAUUAAAAACCUGCUGGUUUCCACAACACAGACUGACAACAUUGAUCAGGCUCCGAUCUUUCUUUGUCUACCUGAAUGAAGACCUGACCAGUCUAAUUAAAGAGUAUUUGGAUACAGAUGCACCCAGUACCCAGGAGGCGAUCCAGAAGAUGGUGAUGUGAGUCCUUGUUGUAAAAAUGUAUGGUUCAGACAUCGAAGACAGCCCAGCAGAUGUUGGAGUGUUAUUGAAGGGAUUAAGAGUUCUUGGACCUCAACAACAUUGUGUAUGCGACGACCAUGCUGAUGGGACUGAUAU